GUACACUGUAAAGAGCUCACCAUUGUAAUUGAAGGAUUUCAGCUAUGUUCCUCUUUGCUUUUCUCCUUAGGAAGUAUGAAUAAAUUUUCCAAUCCAUGAACACUAUUUAGAAGGGUGAAUAUUCACAGUUAGUCACCAACUGAAACAUCUUCAUGUUCAAUGAGAUAGGAUUUACAGAGUCAUCUCCAAGAUAAAACCUAUACUAGCUGGGACAUCUAAAGUAUGCUCUUCUUCAGAGUCGUUGAAAGAAUGAUGCAGUACCCUGUUUACUGCCACAUCAUGAUAUACACAAGUCAUCACAAUUGUUAAAGAUCAAUGAGAAUCCACUCAGGCUGCCUGACUGAAAUAAUGGAUGUUGCACUCCAAUUUAUAUAACUAAUAUGAAUUUAUUAGUUGAAGUCUUGAAGCUGUGAAAGUGGCAACCCACAGCCAGCAAGGAUGGGGCAGUAUUUCUGGCAACAGCAAUUGAAGGUAACUCCUUUAGUAAUAAACAUUAACACUUUUAGAUUGUCCCAAAACACAUGCUAGCUUUCAUUACAGCUCACCAAUUACCUCUGUAUCAUUGUGCUUAGAGGCUUUCUAAAAAGAAAACAGUUGUAAUCUUUGCUACUGAAUGCAUUAAGUGCUGAGAAUUCAACAUGAAGACCUCCCAUUCCUCUGAAAAUUUGUUUUGUUUUGCAUGUAGGACAAAGCUUUUCCUCCUUAAAGAACACUUUAAUUUCAUAUUUUUAAUUAUUCAUUUUAAUUGGAUAUUUUAUUUAUUUGGAUUUCAAAUGUUAUCUCAUUUCCAGGUUUACCCUAUGCAGAACAAUAUCCCAUUCCCCCUACCCCUGUUUCUAUGAGGGUGUUCCCCAUUGACCCACCCACUUCCACCUCACUGUCCUGGCAUUCUCUUACACUGGGGCAUCUAACCGUUACAGGACCAAGUGUUUCUUCUCCCAUUGAUGUCAGAUAAAGCCACACUCUGAUAAAUAUGUGGCUGGAGCCAUGAAUCCUUCCAUGUCUACCUUUGGUUGUUGGUAUAGUCCCUGGGAGCUCUGGGGGGUAUGGUUGGUUGAGAUUGUUGUACUUCCUAGCAGGUUGCAAAACUGUUCACCUCCUUGAGUCCUUUCCCUAACUCCUCAAUUUGAGUCCAAUUGUACUGUAUAAAUCAGUUC